UUGAUGUGGUUUUUUGCCAUAAUAUGUUAUAAACAGACUUAAAGUUUCACUUUACUGGAAGUUUCUUAUAGUUGCUUUAGUACUUUCCAUUUCUUCGUGGUGUUGUCCAUGGUUUUGAUACUGUUUUGGAGGGCAUCUGAAGGUGCAGCAUAAUUUAUGCUAUCAACGUCUUUGUCAUGAUCUGUUCGGAGAGUAGCAUAGAAAUGUAGAACCUUGCACGCAAACAGGGAGAGAGUCCACCUCCUCUUCCCACCCAUCCCAAAAAAGGACAGCCUCAUUGAAUCGGCACAACUCAGGAAUCAAGUUAAUUCUUGAAAAAUUGAAACUUGCGGAAGAAAGGCAAAUGGAAGGAAGGGACUCACUUUGGUAUCUCUGAACAGCUAUUCCACUUUGGAUUGGGCAAGGAUGAAUGGACAGUUGAUAAAAGCCAUUUCUCCACGAGUUAUGGAAACAUAUUGAUAUGCAGCAUUACGGUAUCUAGGUACUCCUAAGAACGCUUUUCAUGUCCCAUAUGCAGUUUUGUGCUCUUGAUCUCAUUUUAUUAUGGCCCAACCUGCAAUUCUAUUUUGUUUUAAAAUUGAGUCAACAUAGUCCAGUUAUAGUGUAAAUGAGAGCCAUUUUGGGGCUGUUUUAUUACCAUUUCAAUGAGAUAGUGGAGUUAGUCUUGAGUUGGUAGGAGCUAUUGGAUAUCCUUGCCUUUCAAUGUUGGACAUUGAUUUUGUUUGUUAAGUCCGUUAAAACUUAAAACAGAGCAUCAAGCUCUCCUGCUUAUAGCAAUUCCUUACUUAUUUUAGUGCCUCUGUUUUCCAUCUUCUACAGCCUUCUAUCUUGUUUCUUUGAGGAGACUACCGAUGUAUUUCUUUCCAAGAAAACUUGCAACUCUAAACUCUCUUUCCUGCAGCAAAAGAAAAAGGCAACUUAGAUAUC